GAUGAACGCUGGCGGCGUGCCUAAUACAUGCAAGCCGAGCGAACAGAUAAGGAGCUUGCUCCUUUGACGUUAGCGGCGGACGGGUGAGUAACACGUGGGUAACCUACCUAUAAGACUGGGAUAACUUCGGGAAACCGGAGCUAAUACCGGAUAACAUUUGGAACCGCAUGGUUCUAAAGUGAAUGAUGGUUUUGCUAUCGCUUAUAGAUGGACCCGCGCCGUAUUAGCUAGUUGGUAAGGUAACGGCUUACCAAGGCGACGAUACGUAGCCGACCUGAGAGGGUGAUCGGCCACACUGGAACUGAGACACGGUCCAGACUCCUACGGGAGGCAGCAGUAGGGAAUCUUCCGCAAUGGGCGAAAGCCUGACGGAGCAACGCCGCGUGAGUGAUGAAGGGUUUCGGCUCGUAAAACUCUGUUAUUAGGGAAGAACAAAUGUGUAAGUAACUGUGCACGUCUUGACGGUACCUAAUCAGAAAGCCACGGCUAACUACGUGCCAGCCGCCGCAGUAA
rnacentral:rRNA from 1 species